rnacentral:lncRNA from 1 species
UUUGAGAACUAAUUGGGUUGGCCCCAAACAUGAACGUGAUAUAAAAAAGGUUAGAUGGAACUGAAACGGCGAUGGCUAUUGGCAUGCGUGGAUUUAGAUGGUGCAAUUGAAGGGACGAUUAUGCCAUUUUUCCAACAGUUUUCUGUUUACAAAUGCUUUUAAUGGAACCCACAAAAGUUGGUUGGAAGGUUAGGACCAAAGAAUUUAUAUUAUGAACAGAGAGAGAACAUAUUGAAGCAGAAAUGGAAAUAACCCUAGCAAAAUGUAAGGUUUUUUUAUAGUGGUUAAGCAACCUCCAGUAAAAAAAAAGUUGCAGCGGAUCUUCGGUGUCAAAAGAAUCAAAACUUCAUGUGUUAGACUGAUUACCCUCAAAGCUGGCAUAAAAGUUCCGGAAGUCGAUGUGGCAUUGGUUUCAUAUUUGGUAGCUAUCUUGGUGCCAUUUUGCUGGUUCUGCACCAGCUUAUUUUUACACCUGUAUUGUAUGAUUUCUACAACUAUGAUGUUGACAAAACAGAAUUCAGUCAACUUUUUUCAAAGUUCACACAGGAUAUGGCUUUGCUGAGGGCAUUGUUAUAUUUCAUAGGGAUGAAACACUCGAUAUCGCUUCGGAAAUCACAGAAAACUCCCAAGGCGAAAACAAAUUAGUUGUGACCUUAGUGUCAAGUGUUUAGCUUAAACAAUAUACGUAAUCUCUGCAUCAUAAUUGGCUAUUGAAUUGUAUAAUUUAUUACCCCCAUUCACAUUACAUGACUAAUUGAAUGUUCCAUUUCUCUUCAGUGUUAUGCUAUUUCCUUGUUUUGGUCAUCUUUUCAUCCAUCAUAUACCAAAUGUACGUAGGUUGUAAAGCUACCAACAUUUCUAUCAUGUUGCCUAAAGAUAUCAUCAUUAUCAGUUGAGACGGUAAUUGGUCUCAUGGUCUGGUUUGGUUUUGGUACUGACAGUCCCAUACACCAUUAUAAAACCAUUGUUAAAAGUUACCAUUGGGUAUGCUAUUAGUCCCAAUCUCAAAAACCAACUUAAAAUAUCAUAUUCUAACAAUUCUACAAGUUUGAUAAAUUCAAGUUUCGAACAACUUCAAAAUAUAAUAUAAUGGGUAUGGUAUUAGUUUCUAGUAGGUUGACAUGUAUCAUCCAAUACCAUAACCUUUACUAGUAUCUAUUUUUUACCUGUUGUAAUUUAUGAAAGGGAUAAUUCUGAUUCGGAGGAUUAACCAGAAAGUUUAAACGGAUUAAGGAAAAUUCAAGCGGGUUCGAGACAAAUAUAGUUUGAAUUAUCGGUUUAUAAAAUAUGUUUAUCUAGUUGGUUUAUUUGAUUUUUAAAAUAGAGUUUGAGUUGGGUUAGGAUUAGGAUUAGCAUUAGCAUGAGUAUUAAGUAUAGUAUAAAAGAGUCGAACGAGUUUGUUAAUAUGGCGUGCUUUUGUGUUUUGAUCAAGGGCCCGAUUUCCGAAAAUUUGUAAUGAAGGAACCCCAAUUUCAUUUGAUCAUUCAUUAUGAAUUAAUGAUAAAUGUAUGUGAAUUUGCGUGUUGACUUGUUUCUGUAUAUCUUCACUUGUUUUUUGACUGAUGUUGUGUUUGUGUAGAUUAGAAAAUGGGGCUAAAGAAAAAGAGUGUCAAACUUCUAACAAGACUGAUUUCAUUAGCAAAGACUGGUUUCUUUUAUGUUAAGAGAAAGAAUCUGAGGAUGAAGGCGAACAAGCUUGAAAUAAAAAAAAUAUGAUUCUCGUGUUCUUUUCACCGAAGCCAAGAUAAAAUGACAACAGAGAUAAAUCUUUAUGAUGGAACUUUGCUGUUAAAGAAGUCAUAUGAUUAUGCUGCUAGUAUCUGUUCUAAUCCGAAACUAUUUUUGUAAUUUUGUUGUCCGGUUUUCAUGACAAUAUAUUAAAAAACAUAAUAAUUUUU